CCUCCUGGCACUUAUCUCCCAGGCUGCGUUUCUGCCAGAUGGGAAUCGCGGCUUGUUGCGAUGGAUGGAAGUGCGGUGGUUCUGAGGCAGAUUCGGGAGGUUACGGGUCGUACCCGGCUUUGUUUGGCUUUACGCGCAGAGCGCACGGGGAUCAGCCCACUCCAGGGAGCAUCGGGUGGGCACCGUCCUUCGCAGCAUCAUCAUGACCGUCAAGUUUUGUGUCUCUGACCCAGUUACAGGUCAUGACCACACACGCCUGGCAAGCGAAUGUGUUGUUUUUUUCGCAAGCGGUCCUAUUUCGUUUGGAGCAAACAAACAUUGGAGAUCCGUGUCCAGCCCCCAGCCCAGUGGGAAACCUGCACAGUAAACCCCUGGUGGGCUCCGGAUUGCCCCACAAACACUGCUGGAGGAGUCUGUUGAAUACGAGCCGCUGCAACAUGGUCCUGUAGUGACGCCUGAUCCGUCAGACUCUGAGAGUGGAGUCAACCCUCCUCAAUAAAAACUCACGAGUCAACCCCCUCGUAGUCAAUCAAAUAGUAGAGUUUAACUCCACUGAUGCCAGACUCGCUUUCCGGAGUUUGGUUUGUUUUGACGCACGUCUGAGUAAUGGAUAACGGGAUUAGUUGUUAGUUUAGACAAAUAACUUUAAUGUUUAAACUGAACCUGGUGAAGACUCGUAUGAAAACAUUCCACGUGUGAUUUUGUUUUGUUAUAAAUAAUAACUGAUACAUGGGCUAUUUAUGCUAAUUAUUGUUUCAGUGUAGGGGGAAAAAUCAGUUCAUAUUUCAUUUAUUUAUGUUUGGUUUUAUUUUUUAUGACCUUUGUUAUUUUGGUGGAAAAAUAAACUGUUUCCAUGUUUCCGAGGUAAAGAUUAACUGAAAACUAUUGUCUGUGUGUCUAAAAUUAAAAUUUGGAUUAAAUUAAGGCAUAUUUCCACCAUGAACUGCA